UAGAGUUAGAAAUGCUAAUGUAUUGUGUGCAAUUGGGUAAUGCAGCGAUACUUAGCAAGGCUUAGGUAAAGGAUUCUUCCAUAAGCCGCAAAACUUGCAGCCAAGAUGUUGAUGCUUUGGCUGCAGGAACCGCAGACGUCGACGACGACCCUGUGGCAAACUACUUGGGAUGCUACGACUGAGGCACCACGCUGGGGUCGUAGCUGUGUCGGACUUGGAUGGUCACUUUUUGUAGAUGUUUUGUAUAUGGCUAAUGUUGUCUGUGACACAUAUUUUGUUAGCCAUUCUUUUGGGUAUGUAAUUAAUAUUUUGAUAAGCCUUAAACAGAUAGACUACCGUAUGGCUCUUUUGUGUAAUUGACAGUUGAUGUUUAUAGAUGUGCUUUUCGCUAUUUAGAUAUGUUAUGUUUA